rnacentral:misc_RNA from 1 species
CAAUGUUUCACAUCAGUCCUUUGCAAAUGGAGGUCCUAACACUGGGCUGGCUGGACCAGGAAGUUCUCAGCGUGGUCCUGUUGAUAAUGGGGCUGAGAGUGACCCACUUUCUGGUGUAGGAAAUGGGAUGGGUUUUAGUGCUCCUUCAACAUCAUUUAUGUCAUCAGCCAUGGCGACAAAUCCAAAUAGCAGUCAAGUUCAAGGACAGCAGUUUCCUAACCCCUCUGGUAACCACAUGUUGACUGACCAACAACGAUCCCAACAGCUUGAUUCCCAGAAUGUUCAACAUAAUCAACAAUUGCAGCAGUUUUCUUCCCCUAUCAAUUCCCAAACACAGCAACAGCAGCAUCAUUUUCAAUCCAUGCGUGGUGGAUUAGCACCUGUCAAAAUGGAGACACAGGUGACUAAUGAUCAAACACCGCAGCAGUUGCAAGCUCUGCGAAACUUGGCACCUGUAAAAAUGGAACCACAACAGGUUCAAAGUAUGAGAGGUCUUGCGCCUGUAAAAGUAGAACAACAACAAUCAGACCCAUCGUUAUUUCUACAUCAGCAACAGCAGCAGCAGUUCCUUCAGAUGUCCAGGCAGUCCCCUCAAGCUGCUGCUGCAGCACAGCUUUUGCAUCAGCAGAGGUUAAUGCAGUUCCAGCAUCAUCAUCAGCUCUUGAAGACAGCCCCUCAACAACGAAACCCAUUACAACAACAAUUUCAACCACAGAACCUUGCUGUCAGACCUCCAGUAAAGGCAGUAUAUGAGCCCGGGAUGUGUGCCCGUCGGCUGACUCAUUAUAUAUAUCAGCAACAACAUAGACCCGAAGACAAUAACAUUGAGUUCUGGAGGAAAUUUGUUGCCGAGUAUUUCGCUCCCAAUGCCAAGAAAAAAUGGUGUGUCUCUAUGUAUGGAAGUGGUCGGCAGACUACUGGAGUUUUUCCUCAGGAUGUGUGGCACUGCGAAAUAUGCAGCCGAAAGCCAGGCCGUGGGUUCGAAGCGACUGCCGAGGUUUUGCCCAGGCUUUUCAAGAUCAAGUAUGAAAGUGGAACUUUGGAAGAACUUCUCUAUGUCGAUAUGCCCCGUGAAUAUCAGAAUUCAUCUGGGCAAAUAGUCCUAGAUUACGCAAAAGCAAUUCAGGAGAGUGUCUUUG